rnacentral:tRNA from 1 species
GGGGAUGUGGCUCAAGCGGUAGAGUGCUCGCCUGGCAUGUGUGUGGCCCGGGUUCGAUCCUCAUCACCA